rnacentral:rRNA from 1 species
UUACGGCUCAGUAACACGUAGCUAACCUACCCUUAAGUCGAGGAUACUCUCGGGAAACUGAGGUUAAUACUCGAUAGGAGAUGUACCCUGGAAUGAUUCAUCUCUCAAAUUCGAGCUUAAGGAUGGGGCUGCGGCGGAUUAGGUUGUUGGCGGGGUAAAAGCCCACCAAGCCGAUGAUCCGUAAGGGCUCUUAGCGGAGAGGCCCUGAGAGGGAAUCUGAGACACUAUUCCCAGCCCUACGGGGUGCAGCAGUUAGGAAUCUUCUGCAAUGCGCGCAAGCGUGACAGAUUGAGUCAGAGUGCUUUUCAUAUGAAAAGCUUUUGCCAAAUGUAAAAAGUUUGGCGAAUAAGGACUGGGUAAGACGGGUGCCAGCCGCCGCGGUAAUACCCGCGGUCCAAGUCGCAGCCAUCAUUAUUGGGUCUAAAACAUCCGUAGCUUGCUUGAUAAGUUUCUUGUGAAAUUCCAUGUCUCAAAUAUGGAGCGGGCAAGAAGUACUGUUAAGCUAGAGACUGGAAGACGUAAGAAGUACGUUUGGAGUAGCGGUAAAAUGUGUUAAUCCCAGACGGACUAACAACAGCGAAGGCAUCUUACGAGGACAGUUCUGACAGUAAGGGAUGAAGGCUAGGGGCGCGAAAGGGAUUAGAUACCCCUGUAGUCCUAGCAGUAAACACUGCACACUAAACAUUAGUACCUCCUCGAGAGGUGUUAGUGCUGAAGAGAAGUCGAAGAGUGUGCUACCUGGGAAGUAUAGUCGCAAGGCUGAAACUUAAAGGAAUUGGCGGGGGAGCAC